rnacentral:rRNA from 1 species
UACGUAGGGUGCAAGCGUUGUCCGGAAUUAUUGGGCGUAAAGAGCUCGUAGGCGGCUUGUUGCGUCGGCUGUGAAAUCCCGGGGCUUAACUCCGGGCGUGCAGCCGAUACGGGCAGGCUAGAGUCCGGUAGGGGAGACUGGAAUUCCCGGUGUAGCGGUGAAAUGCGCAGAUAUCAGGAGGAACACCGGUGGCGAAGGCGGGUCUCUGGGCCGGUACUGACGCUAAGGAGCGAAAGCGUGGGGAGCGAACAGG